AGGUUAUGAUGCUUUUAAAUUUUCUGACAUCUCUAAUGAACCGUUGUGAUUAAAAUUUUUGUAAUAUAAUUAACUGAUCAU
rfam:Drosophila sechellia strain Rob3c scaffold_1 genomic scaffold, whole genome shotgun sequence.